rnacentral:tRNA from 1 species
GCCCUCGGUGGCUCAGAUGGAUAGAACGUCUGCCAUGUAAGCAGGAGAUCCUGGGUUCGAGUCCCAGUCGGGGCA